GUGGUAGUGCUAGUGGAGCUAGAGGAGGCAUUGGGGUUUGAGCUACUGGAAAAGGAUUUGCUUCGGCGGAGUUCAGCGUCGAGGUAGGUGAUGGGGGUUUCCUGGUGCGUAUCAGGGUCAAUGCCGGAGAGGCGUUCGCGGAGGCAGGAGGCACAGAAACCGGUAAUGGGUUUGGACGGGUGGCGGUGGCACGUGGAGAGGCGGAAGUGUUGGGGUUGAGGCUGUAGAUUCAUGGCUGCUGG
rnacentral:misc_RNA from 1 species